GGCUCAGUUGGUGGAGCAGCUGCCUUCAACUCAGGUCAUGAUCUGAGGGUCCUCGGUUGGAGCCCCGAGUCGGGCUUCCUGCUCAGUGCGGAGUCUGCUUGAGAUUCUCUCUCCCUCUGCCCCUCCCCACCGCUUGUUCUCUCUCUCUCUCAAAUGAAUAAAUAAAGUCUUUAAAAAAAAAAACAAAAAAAUUUUAUUUUCUUGGUCUGGAUUUUUGGAGGGAAAUGACGUUGAAAGCCAAACUGGCCUCCGAAGGACUUGACAAAUGCACACGGUUGGCUACCACAUGGGAGUGCUUGCUUCAUUGAACUCUGGUCCAUAGCAGGUGUCAAAUUAACAAAACCAAAAGCAGGACAGUUUUAUUUUUGAGAUAAGAAAUGGGAUACUUCUAAAAAAUUUGCUUUGAUUUUUAUUGAAGUUGCCUUUUUUUCCCCUGCAAGUCUGAUGAUCAUUGAAUUUUCUCUGUCGUAUGUGGGUUGUUUGUUCUUGUCCUUUUGUACUUCUGUUUUCUGACUUGUAAUGUGAGGAGGUUAAUCUCUUUUAAGUCUUACAUCCUAGGAAUUAUGCUUAUGUUUAUUCUCCUGCAAAACACCUAUUGAAAAAGAAAAAAAUCCAGCCCAUCAAACCAGAUACCAUGAAUUCUCCCUCUCACUCUGCUGCCCCCGGUCCUGAGCAGAACUUUCAGUGUGACACACAAAGCAGGCAUUUAAUGCUGUAAAUUUCCCUCAAAGCACCACUUUUGCUGCAUCCCACACAUUUUGCAUAUGCCUGAGCAACAUUGUGACUGGCUAUGUGUGCAGCAAAAUGUGCUUCCUCACAGCUGUACACAAUGAGGCAGUUAUAAAAACACUCAUGAAGCCCUGCUUAUAAAGUGAAUUUUUGGAGAAAACCCACCGUUCAUCAAUGCGGCGGUGGGAAUUUAGAUUACGGUUCACUGACCUAAAGGAAUACCAUGUAACAGUUAAAAAGGAGAUUUUGCAGCUGCGGGAGAUGGUCUGGAUGAGCUCGCCUCUGAAGCUAAGAUGCCUUUCGAAGGGCCCUGGACUCAGAGUGAAACCCCCAGAGCAGCUGGAGAUGAUGAGCCUGUGAUGUUCGGUGGCAGAU